rnacentral:rRNA from 1 species
UUCCAGACUCCUACGGGAGGCAGCAGUGAGGAAUAUUGGUCAAUGGGCGCGAGCCUGAACCAGCCAAGUCGCGUGAGGGAGGACGGCCCUACGGGUUGUAAACCUCUUUUGCCGGGGAGCAACGGGCGUCACGUGUGGCGCCACUGAGAGUACCCGGAGAAAAAGCAUCGGCUAACUCCGUGCCAGCAGCCGCGGUAAUACGGAGGAUGCGAGCGUUAUCCGGAUUUAUUGGGUUUAAAGGGUGCGUAGGCGGACGCUUAAGUCAGCGGUAAAAUUGCGGGGCUCAACCUCGUCGAGCCGUUGAAACUGGGUGCCUUGAGUGGGCGAGAAGUACGCGGAAUGCGUGGUGUAGCGGUGAAAUGCAUAGAUAUCACGCAGAACUCCGAUUGCGAAGGCAGCGUACCGGCGCCCAACUGACGCUGAAGCACGAAAGCGUGGGUAUCGAACAGGAUUAGAUACCCCAGUA